rnacentral:rRNA from 1 species
UACGUAGGGUGCAAGCGUUAAUCGGAAUUACUGGGCGUAAAGCGUGCGCAGGCGGUGCUGUAAGACAGAUGUGAAAUCCCCGGGCUCAACCUGGGAACUGCAUUUGUGACUGCAUCGCUGGAGUGCGGCAGAGGGGGAUGGAAUUCCGCGUGUAGCAGUGAAAUGCGUAGAUAUGCGGAGGAACACCGAUGGCGAAGGCAAUCCCCUGGGCCUGCACUGACGCUCAUGCACGAAAGCGUGGGGAGCAAACAGG